UACGUAGGGGGCAAGCGUUGUCCGGAAUUACUGGGCGUAAAGAGCUCGUAGGUGGUUUGUCGCGUUGUUCGUGAAAACCGGGGGCUUAACCCUCGGCGUGCGGGCGAUACGGGCAGACUGGAGUACUGCAGGGGAGACUGGAAUUCCUGGUGUAGCGGUGGAAUGCGCAGAUAUCAGGAGGAACACCGGUGGCGAAGGCGGGUCUCUGGGCAGUAACUGACGCUGAGGAGCGAAAGCGUGGGGAGCGAACAGG
rnacentral:rRNA from 1 species